UACGGGGGGGGCAAGCGUUGUUCGGAAUUACUGGGCGUAAAGGGCUUGUAGGCGGCCAACUAAGUCCGACGUGAAAUCCCCAGGCUUAACCUGGGAACUGCGUCGGAUACUGGAUGGCUUGAAUUCGGGAGAGGGAUGCAGAAUUCCUGGUGUAGCGGUGGAAUGCGCAGAUAUCAGGAGGAACACCGAUAGCGAAGGCAGGCUCGCUGGGACGGUACUGACGCUGAGGCGCGAAAGCGUGGGAGCGAACAGG
rnacentral:rRNA from 1 species